UACGUAGGGUGCAAGCGUUGUCCGGAAUUAUUGGGCGUAAAGAGCUCGUAGGCGGUCUGUCGCGUCGGCUGUGAAAACCCGGAGCUCAACUCGGGGCCUGCAGUCGAUACGGGCAGACUGGAGUUCGGCAGGGGAGACUGGAAUUCCUGGUGUAGCGGUGAAAUGCGCAGAUAUCAGGAGGAACACCGGUGGCGAAGGCGGGUCUCUGGGCCGAUACUGACGCUGAGGAGCGAAAGCGUGGGGAGCGAACAGG
rnacentral:rRNA from 1 species